rnacentral:rRNA from 1 species
UACGUAGGGGGCGAGCGUUAUCCGGAUUUACUGGGCGUAAAGCGCGUUAAGGCGGUCGGCAAAGUUGGUUGUGAAAUUUCAGGGCUCAACCCUGAAACUGCGUCCAAUACUGGUCGACUUGAGUGCGAGAGAGGAAGGUGGAAUUCCUGGUGUAGCGGUGAAAUGCGCAGAUAUCAGGAGGAACACCAAUGGCGAAGGCAGCUCGCUGGGACGGUAUUGACGCUGAGACGCGAAAGCGUGGGGAGCAAACAGG